AUCAGAGUCCUCCAGAAUCUUGGGCACAGUAAGCAGAGUGGAGAUCAUGGGAGAGCUUCUACAUUGCCUAAUACAUCUGAGGCAACUUUAUUUCUGACAUCCAUGAACAGAAAAGUAAAAUUCCUUACCUGCCAGCUCUUCAAGAGAAAGUGAGAAGUGGAAUUAGGUUGAAGAAUGCUAUUAGGAGUCAGGAAUGAGGAACACCUGGAAUUUACCAUCCAACACAAGAUGAAUUAUUCACCAGUUCUUUAGCAUUUGGGGAAAAAAUAUUUGAACCCAGUUGUGGACCAGGAACUACACCUAGGAAUUUCAAAUGCACCUAUGCCCUGCUUUUUUUAGAAGAGGCACCAGAAUGAUAGAUAAAUCUUCAAAAAAAAUGUUGUCAUCAAAGUAUUAAGUAGAAGAGCGAAAUUCAGAAGGACACUCUUGGUCAUCUACUGCAUCAUCAGACAGCUGAACCAGACUUCUUCCAUGAUGAUGGUAUGUUGUCGUAGCAGCUUCUAUCUUCUGAGAGCGCAACCCAA